rnacentral:rRNA from 1 species
UGGGGAAUAUUGCGCAAUGGGCGCAAGCCUGAUGCAGCCAUGCCGCGUGUGUGAAGAAGGCCUUCGGGUUGUAAAGCACUUUCAGCGAGGAGGAAGGUGGUGAGCUUAAUACGCUCAUCAAUUGACGUUACUCGCAGAAGAAGCACCGGCUAACUCCGUGCCAGCAGCCGCGGUAAUACGGAGGGUGCAAGCGUUAAUCGGAAUUACUGGGCGUAAAGCGCACGCAGGCGGUUUGUUAAGUCAGAUGUGAAAUCCCCGGGCUCAACCUGGGAACUGCAUUUGAAACUGGCAAGCUAGAGUCUCGUAGAGGGGGGUAGAAUUCCAGGUGUAGCGGUGAAAUGCGUAGAGAUCUGGAGGAAUACCGGUGGCGAAGGCGGCCCCCUGGACGAAGACUGACGCUCAGGUGCGAAAGCGUGGGGCAGCAAACAGGAUUAGAUACCCUGGUAGUCCACGCUGUAAACGAUGUCGAUUUGGAGGUUGUGCCCUUGAGGCGUGGCUUCCGGAGCUAACGCGUUAAAUCGACCGCCUGGGGAGUACGGCCGCAAGGUUAAAACUUAAAGGAAUUGACGGGGUCAUAGCUG